rnacentral:rRNA from 1 species
UGGGGAAUAUUGCACAAUGGGCGCAAGCCUGAUGCAGCCAUGCCGCGUGUAUGAAGAAGGCCUUCGGGUUGUAAAGUACUUUCAGCGGGGAGGAAGGGAGUAAAGUUAAUACCUUUGCUCAUUGACGUUACCCGCAGAAGAAGCACCGGCUAACUCCGUGCCAGCAGCCGCGGUAAUACGGAGGGUGCAAGCGUUAAUCGGAAUUACUGGGCGUAAAGCGCACGCAGGCGGUUUGUUAAGUCAGAUGUGAAAUCCCCGGGCUCAACCUGGGACCUGCAUCUGGUACUGGCAAGCUUGAGUCUCGUAGAGAGGGGUAGAAUUCCAGGUGUAGCGGUGAGAUGCGUAGAGAUCUGGAGGAAUACCGGUGGCGAAGGCGGCCCCCUGGACGAAGACUGACGCUCAGGUGCGAAAGCGUGGGGAGCAAACAGG